UCGAGGAUCUUCGGCAAUGGGCGCAAGCCUGACCGAGCGACGCCGCGUGAGCGAUGAAGGCCUUCGGGUCGUAAAGCUCUGUCGGGGGGGAGAAAAGGCGCAAGCCUUGAUCGACCCCCGGAGGAAGCACGGGCUAAGUUCGUGCCAGCAGCCGCGGUAAGACGAACCGUGCGAACGUUAUUCGGAAUCACUGGGCUUAAAGGGCGCGUUGGCGGGUCGGUAAGUCAGGGGUGAAAUCCCACGGCCCAACCGUGGAAGUGCCUCUGAUACUGCCGGCCUCGAGGGGGAUAGGGGCGUGCGGAACUCAGGGUGGAGCGGUGAAAUGCGUAGAUAUCCUGAGGAACACCGGUGGCGAAAGCGGCGCACUGGAUCCCUUCUGACGCUGAGGCGCGAAAGCCAGGGGAGCAAACGG
rnacentral:rRNA from 1 species